rnacentral:rRNA from 1 species
AUACGUAGGGUGCGAGCGUUGUCCGGAUUUACUGGGUGUAAAGGGCGCGUAGGCGGGAUGGCAAGUCAGAUGUGAAAUCUCCGGGCUCAACCCGGAAACUGCAUUUGAAACUGUCGUUCUUGAGUAUCGGAGAGGCAAGCGGAAUUCCUAGUGUAGCGGUGAAAUGCGUAGAUAUUAGGAGGAACACCAGUGGCGAAGGCGGCUUGCUGGACGACAACUGACGCUGAGGCGCGAAAGCGUGGGGAGCAAACAGGAUUAGAUCCCCUGGUAGUCCACGCCGUAAACGAUGAAUACUAGGUGUGGGGGGACUGACCCCCUCCGUGCCGCAGUUAACACAAUAAGUAUUCCACCUGGGGAGUACGGCCGCAAGGUUGAAACUUAAAUGAAUUGGCGGGG